rnacentral:lncRNA from 1 species
GUUCUUUCAGGUAUUGUCUGGUUAUUUCAAUGUUGACCGGUGCAGUAAGCUACUGCAUCGGAAUAACCGGAUGACGCUUGAGGGGACAUGUGCGGCAGCGCCGGUGUGGUGUGCGGAGCGGGAGGGAAAAUACAGCAAUGACACAAGCGGCCUACUCGGGGGAGUGGUCUGUUAUGUGGGAUAGUGCUAAAAUCGUCAAUUCAAGGGAUCAAGGCUCUAUACCCAGUGCUUGGGAAUGCUUGUUUGAUCAAUGUAACUAUAAUGUUUGGGUUACAAAUGUGGCUUUCUUUCCUGUUAUCGCCCUAUUUCCACCACCCCCUUUUUGCCUAUCAUUUGUCUCACCUGCACAACCUGUUUGUUUUUACCAUUUCCCUGACACUCGGGGUUUGGAUUGCAAUUUACACUUGUUUUUGCGGAUGUUCUG